UACGUAGGGAGCAAGCGUUGUUCGGAUUUAUUGGGCGUAAAGGGCGCGUAGGCGGCGCGGUAAGUCACUUGUGAAAUCUCUGAGCUUAACUCAGAACGGCCAAGUGAUACUGCAGUGCUAGAGUGCAGAAGGGGCAAUCGGAAUUCUUGGUGUAGCGGUGAAAUGCGUAGAUAUCAAGAGGAACACCUGAGGUGAAGACGGGUUGCUAGGCUGACACUGACGCUGAGGCGCGAAAGCCAGGGGAGCAAACGGG
rnacentral:rRNA from 1 species